UAAAAGGCAUUGUGGAUUCUGCCUUGCUCUCUCUUGGAUCACUUGCUCUGGGAGAAGCCAGCUGCCAUGCCACGAGGACACUCAAGCAGCUUGAUGGAGAAGUCUACCUAGUGAGGAACUGAGGUCUCCUGCCAACAACCAGCAAGGAAUUGAGGCCUUCUGCCAACAGCUAUGAACCUAGCUCAAAACCACUUCUCUGCCAGAAGUGCUCUCCAGGAAUUCUGGCCCGUGAAUAUCCUUCUUACUCAGUUAUUUUACGAUGUGAACAACUCCAUCUUGAAAUAAAUUGAACUGGGGAAAACUGGAAGUCUGGACUCUAGAGAGGUGUCUCCAGAGAGACAUGAAGAAUGACGGAGACACAGAGACCUCAGAAAAAAUUAGACAAUAUGGACACUAUGCUUCCUCAACGGGAAUUUUCUAAGGACUUAAAAACCAGUCCUUUGUCACUUCAAGUCAAGCUAUUGAUAUAGCUUUGGGCUUGUGGAUGUGUUAUUCAUGUUCUUGCUCAUCCCAUGGAAGUUGUGAAAUAAGGAAUAAACAUCAAUUCACAAGAAGAAUAAUGGCUGAUGAUCUGGUGGAUGAGCAGCUGAGCAACUGUGAUGCGCGCCAAAAGAGUCAAAAGUCAACUCUUCUUAAAGCACCACCAUCCACAUUAAUAUGACAGACCAGAAUAACUCUGAGGGAGCCAUUAUGAUCCAUUACGAAAAUAACAUUCAUUUGCAAAAUGAGGAACAUACCAAAAUGCAAGUGGUUCCAGUUCUUUCAGCUAAAUUACACAUUAAGCAAGCAGACUUCCUCUUCCAACAUUUUGAAACGGUUUAAUAUGCACUCGGGCUGGCCAGGGCCUAGAUUUUCUAAGACCGCCCCAAAGGUGAAGCCUCGAAAAAUGAGGACUGAUUGAUUGCCAGAGAGUCAGUCAGCCCCGCUGGUGUGUUGGUCAGGUGAAGCAUGACUGUGCUUUGAAAUUUCUCCUAGGGGACAGGAAUGAUACCACGUAGGAGCUGUGAAUCCCAGCUGGCUUCAUCCAAGAGCUUAUUGGCUGCUCCCCUCCAGUGGUUUGUUGGUUAGAACUCGGGGAUGAAGUGUAGUGGACGUUUGUUGUCUUUGCCUUUCGAGCAUUCAUUCAUACCUUCUUCUCAUAACAGUUCCUUGAAUUUCCUUUGGGAGGCUUCCCUUCCCUAUUCUUGGCCCAUGUAAUAAAAGCUAAGAAUGACAGCUAACGUGCAUUAAACUCUCAUCAUGUGCCAGGCACUGGUCGAACCAUCUUACAUUAACUCAUUUAAUCCUUAUACUAAC
rnacentral:lncRNA from 1 species